GAAAUGCGAUAAGUAAUGUGAAUUGCAGAAUUCAGUGAAUCAUCGAAUCUUUGGACGCACCUUGCGCUCCUUGGUAUUCCUUGGAGCAUGCCUGUUUGAGUAUCAUGAAAUCUUCAAAGUAAAUCUUUUGUUAACUCAAUUGGUUUCUACUUUGGUAUUGGAGGUCUUUGCAGCUUCACACCUGCUCCUCUUUGUUCAUUAGCUGGAUCUCAGUGUUAUGCUUGGUUCCACUCGGCGUGAUAAGUUAUCUAUCGCUGAGGACACUGUAAAAGGUGGCCAAGGUAAAUGCAGAUGAACCGCUUCUAAUAGUCCAUUGACUUGGACAAUACUUUUAUGAUCUGAUCUCAAAUCAGGUAGGACUACCCGCUGAACUUAAGC
rnacentral:misc_RNA from 1 species